GUCGGGUAACCUGCCUGUAAGACUGGGAUAACUCCGGGAAACCGGAGCUAAUACCGGAUAGUUCCUUGAACCGCAUGGUUCAAGGAUGAAAGACGGUUUCGGCUGUCACUUACAGAUGGACCCGCGGCGCAUUAGCUAGUUGGUGGGGUAAUGGCUCACCAAGGCGACGAUGCGUAGCCGACCUGAGAGGGUGAUCGGCCACACUGGGACUGAGACACGGCCCAGACUCCUACGGGAGGCAGCAGUAGGGAAUCUUCCGCAAUGGACGAAAGUCUGACGGAGCAACGCCGCGUGAGUGAUGAAGGUUUUCGGAUCGUAAAGCUCUGUUGUUAGGGAAGAACAAGUGCGAGAGUAACUGCUCGCACCUUGACGGUACCUAACCAGAAAGCCACGGCUAACUACGUGCCAGCAGCCGCGGUAAUACGUAGGUGGCAAGCGUUGUCCGGAAUUAUUGGGCGUAAAGGGCUCGCAGGCGGUUUCUUAAGUCUGAUGUGAAAGCCCCCGGCUCAACCGGGGAGGGUCAUUGGAAACUGGGAAACUUGAGUGCAGAAGAGGAGAGUGGAAUUCCACGUGUAGCGGUGAAAUGCGUAGAGAUGUGGAGGAACACCAGUGGCGAAGGCGACUCUCUGGUCUGUAACUGACGCUGAGGAGCGAAAGCGUGGGGAGCGAACAGGAUUAGAUACCCUGGUAGUCCACGCCGUAAACGAUGAGUGCUAAGUGUUAGGGGGUUUCCGCCCCUUAGUGCUGCAGCUAACGCAUUAAGCACUCCGCCUGGGGAGUACGGUCGCAAGACUGAAACUCAAAGGAAUUGACGGGGGCCCGCACAAGCGGUGGAGCAUGUGGUUUAAUUCGAAVCAACGCGAAGAACCUUACCAGGUCUUGACAUCCUCUGACAACCCUAGAGAUAGGGCUUUCCCUUCGGGGACAGAGUGACAGGUGGUGCAUGGUUGUCGUCAGCUCGUGUCGUGAGAUGUUGGGUUAAGUCCCGCAACGAGCGCAACCCUUGAUCUUAGUUGCCAGCAUUUAGUUGGGCACUCUAAGGUGACUGCCGGUGACAAACCGGAGGAAGGUGGGGAUGACGUCAAAUCAUCAUGCCCCUUAUGACCUGGGCUACACACGUGCUACAAUGGACAGAACAAAGGGCUGCGAGACCGCAAGGUUUAGCCAAUCCCAUAAAUCUGUUCUCAGUUCGGAUCGCAGUCUGCAACUCGACUGCGUGAAGCUGGAAUCGCUAGUAAUCGCGGAUCAG
rnacentral:rRNA from 1 species